rnacentral:rRNA from 1 species
CCCUUAGAUGUUCUGGGCCGCACACGCGCUACACUGAAGGAGGCAGCGUGUACUCCUGGAUCGAAAGAUUUGGGUAACCCGCGAAUCUCCUUCGUGCUAGGGAUUGAGGUUUGCAAUUAUCCUUCAUGAACGAGGAAUUCCCAGUAAGUGCAAGUCAUAAGCUUGCGCUGACUACGUCCAUGCCCUUUGUACACACCGCCCGUCGCUACUACCGAUUGAAUGAUUUAGUGAGGACUUCGGACUGGGACCGAUGCGGCUUUCGGGCUGCGUCGGUAUUCUGGAAAGAUGUCCAAACUGUAUCAUUUAGAGGAAGUAAAAGUCGUAACA